CCUACGGGAGGCAGCAGUGGGGUAUAUUGCGCAAUGGGCGAAAGCCUGACGCAGCGACGCCGCGUGAGGGAUGAAGGUCUUCGGAUCGUAAACCUCUGUCAGCAGGGAAGAACGGUCACUGUGCUAAUCAGCAGUGAAUUGACGGUACCUGCAAAGGAAGCACCGGCUAACUCCGUGCCAGCCGCCGCGGUAAUACGGAGGGUGCGAGCGUGAAUCGGAAUUACUGGGCGUAAAGCGCUCGUAGGCGGUAGGUCAAGUCAAGGGUGAAAUCCCCGCGCUCAACGUGGGAACUGCCGUUGAAACUGGGAAACUGGAGUGUGUGAGAGGUUAGUGGAAUGCCAGGUGUAGGAGUGAAAUGCGUAGAUAUCUGGAGGAACAUCAGUGGCGAAGGCGACUAACUGGCACAUAACUGACGCUGAGGAGCGAAAGCGUGGGUAGCAAACAGGAUUAGAUACCCCUGUAGUC
rnacentral:rRNA from 1 species